AGGGCUCUGGGCCUGCAGCACAUGCAUUCGGCAAGGUGACAGCUUCCCCUAAACACUCGAGAACUCCUUGUUAUGUUAGUAGAAAAUACCUAUGGCUUGAAUAUUUUGUCAAGUGCAUUUUUCUGUUUUUAAGUUGGCCAACAAUGUUAAUAACUGCAUUCAACACACACACACACAAAACAUAUGCCAAUAAGCGACGUCCUUUAUCUCAGGGAGCGAGUCUGUUCAAGGUCUACACAAGGGAAUUGACUCCAAUGGGUCUACAACAACCACACACCAUCCAGGCACUGGACUAGUCAGAAAGUGUUAGAGAGAAUGUCACUCACACUAGAAGCCCCUUCUAGAAUGUAGGUUACAAACGCUGACAGAAUGGGCUUCAACCUUGAUUUCCUGGGGCCCCGAUGAAGGCUCCGGCCCUCCCUGGACGUCUGUGUCUUCAUUUCUUAGGCAGGCGUGAUGUUGUCCUAUGGACCUCACUCCAUGCUACCUCACAAAUCUGUUGUGAGGAUUAAUGAAGUUAUGUCUACAGUGGUUUUAGUUUCUGGAG
rnacentral:lncRNA from 1 species